rnacentral:rRNA from 1 species
GAUGAACGCUGGCGGCGUGCCUAAUACAUGCAAGUCGAGCGAACAGACGAGGAGCUUGCUCCUCUGACGUUAACGGCGGACGGGUGAGUAACACGUGGAGAACCUACCUAUAAGACUGGGAUAACUUCGGGAAACCGGAGCUAAUACCGGAUAAUAUAUUGAACCGCAUGGUUCAAUAGUGAAAGACGGGUUUGCUGUCACUUAUAGAUGGAUCCGCGCCGCAUUAGCUAGUUGGUAAGGUAACGGCUUACCAAGGCAACGAUGCGUAGCCGACCUGAGAGGGUGAUCGGACACACUGGAACUGAGACACGGUCCAGACUCCUACGGGAGGCAGCAGUAGGGAAUCUUCCGCAAUGGGCGAAAGCCUGACGGAGCAACGCCGCGUGAGUGAUGAAGGUCUUCGGAUCGUAAAACUCUGUUAUUAGGGAAGAACAAAUGUGUAAGUAACUAUGCACGUCUUGACGGUACCUAAUCAGAAAGCCACGGCUAACUACGUG